AUGACCUACAAGGCAUAAAUGACCUACAAAGUCCCUUCCAACUAUGUUAACCUAGCCAUUAACCAAAAUGGUCACUAAGUGAUUGGGCUUGUGAUCUUACUAUCAGCUUUCCUUUCCUCUGCCUGUGAAGGCCAUAAAUGUAAGAAUUGGUUGCAAAGUUACUUUUGUGUCACUGUUGUUGCUGCAAACUGUUGCUAAAUGAGGCAAUUGCUAAACAAGGACUGCCUGUAUUCAUUAUUACCCUAUAACAGAUAAGGCCAUAUGAGAUAAUACAUAAUUAUCUCAGAGAUGCUUGGUGAAAGUAGAAUAAGUAGAUUCCCUAGGACUCCGUUCUGCCUCAUGAUGAUUUUUCAAGUGGUGACAAAAAAGCUAGAAAUCACAGUACUCAUUGGUGUGUGUCCAAUUCACAUCCUUGGGAAACCAGACAAUAAAUUUUGUACCCUGGGCUUCUACCAGUUGACUCCUGUGGUGCUAAACCUCACCUCACACCUUCUCUCCCAUGCCAAGAAUCUUAAAACAAAUCCCUUUCUCCUUGAACAUGUAUUCUGAGACAUAUUUGUGGUGCUCCAACUCCUUUAACGCAUUAAGUCUAUUUGCUCAAGGGAGCAGCUUGAGUCUUUGUACUUUGUGGUUUGUGUAACACCAGGUAGUUGUGGUAGAUGGACUCUGAGGCUUGCAGGCAGAGUACCUGGGAUGCAUUAGGGCCCACAAGAUGGACAAAGGAUGUUAGAGAAGGAGUUUUGGGGAAAUUAGAAGCCCCUCUGCACAUUGUGAGUGUUUCCCUUCUGGAGGGAAAUUUUCAUAUAUAUUGUAGGCUAGACAAUGAAGAAGGAAAUAUGAAGACAUGUAAACAGCUGCAGGCUCUAUUCCAAGAGAUGGGCCUUAAAGGAAAUGAAUGCAACCGUACCAGAAGU